UAAAGCGCUACCUGUCUGGUGGGGACCUGGAAACGAUGAAACAUGGAAGCUUGCUGGAGUAAUGGCGGAUGAAUUCUGCCUGUUUUUCAUGGCGUUUUAUGAACUUUCGAGAAGGAAGUCGUCGGCAUAUAAGUUAUUAUGGAACCAGUGCUUCCUGUCAUGUUCUCAGCUGAUCAACAUGGCGGCCAUGUGCAAAGAUGCUUUACUAUGCAUAAAUUACAAUACUGUAAUCUGACUAGCUACCGCAUACAUUAUGUGACACUUCUGAGACAGUCAAUACUUGCUGAAAAUGUGAAUGGGGACCGCAAGAGUGACUCUUGGCAUAGUAGAUUACUGGUCAAUAUUAGUACCGUUUGUGCCCUUACUAUCUAGGACGAACAGCUGCAUACGGUUCGCUCCAUACUUGGAAUCUGCUGGCAGGACUGCAUCAGCAACACUGGUCUUGGACUGUGCUCACUCCUCCAGUAUUAAGUCCGUGCUGCUGAAGACACAGCUGAGAUGGGUGGGCCAUGUCAUUGGGAUGGAGGAACAUUGCAUGCCAUGAGGUCUGACAUAAUUAUGGUGAGCUGGCGUCUGGCAAAAGAUACCUGGGUCAUCCAAAGAAAUGCUACAAAGACUCUUUUAAGGGCAAUCUUCAUUGGUGCAAUAUCAAGCCAAAGGAUUUCAAAUCUUGUGCUGGAGAUCGUCUGCUUUGGAGGGCUAGAGUUCAUCAAGCUACCACCUCCUUUGAAUACGCCCGCAGCCAAUGACUUGCUGCAGUCAGUG